UCUAUAUCUAAUGCACUCAUUGCGGUUUUUUUUAAGGAGUCAUAUUUUAUAAAAUAUUGUGCAGAUGUUGAGACGAUUGAUAAAGUAUUACGAUUCAAUGUAAAGUACACUAUUUAUUCAAUUGUUGUUUACGGAAUGUCUUUAAUAUACUACAUUAUAAUCGCCAUUUUCAUAUUUAAAACUUAUAACGAAGGUGGUUUCUUCGAGUUUUGCUCGUAUUACGUAUCCGACGUUUCUGUAUUGCUUGCUUCCAUUGUUAUUUCGUUGAGUUACGAAAUGUUUUGGACUCGAAUGAAAUUAUUGAAGGAUUACGUUAAGCAAUACGUUCACAAUGGAGACUUGACUGUUGAGUCGAAGAACUUCCACUUGAAACAGUUUACACAUGUUUACAAAAGUCUUUUAGAUGCUGUGAAAGAUGCGAAUGCUGCUCUCAAAAUAAAGAUGUUUAUCGACACAAUUUUUAUAUUCAGCAAGAUGGUUACUGAGACUCAUUUUCAUAUCAUUGCCGUCAUUUCAGAUGGGUUUUCUUUGUACAUGAUUCUGCCAAUAACCAGUAUUUUAGCACAUUUUUUCCUAAUUUUUCUGAGCGUAAUAUUUUUAGAGUUGGUUCUAAAGGAAUAUGAGGAAAUAAAAGGCAUGAUAGCUCUCGAGUUAGUGAG